AACGCUAGCUACAGGCUUAACACAUGCAAGUCGAGGGGCAGCAUGGUCUUAGCUUGCUAAGGCCGAUGGCGACCGGCGCACGGGUGAGUAACACGUAUCCAACCUGCCGUCUACUCUUGGACAGCCUUCUGAAAGGAAGAUUAAUACAAGAUGGCAUCAUGAGUCCACAUGUUCACAUGAUUAAAGGUAUUCCGGUAGACGAUGGGGAUGCGUUCCAUUAGAUAGUAGGCGGGGUAACGGCCCACCUAGUCUUCGAUGGAUAGGGGUUCUGAGAGGAAGGUCCCCCACAUUGGAACUGAGACACGGUCCAAACUCCUACGGGAGGCAGCAGUGAGGAAUAUUGGUCAAUGGGCGAGAGCCUGAACCAGCCAAGUAGCGUGAAGGAUGACUGCCCUAUGGGUUGUAAACUUCUUUUAUAAAGGAAUAAAGUCGGGUAUGCAUACCCGUUUGCAUGUACUUUAUGAAUAAGGAUCGGCUAACUCCGUGCCAGCAGCCGCGGUAAUACGGAGGAUCCGAGCGUUAUCCGGAUUUAUUGGGUUUAAAGGGAGCGUAGAUGGAUGUUUAAGUCAGUUGUGAAAGUUUGCGGCUCAACCGUAAAAUUGCAGUUGAUACUGGAUAUCUUGAGUGCAGUUGAGGCAGGCGGAAUUCGUGGUGUAGCGGUGAAAUGCUUAGAUAUCACGAAGAACUCCGAUUGCGAAGGCAGCCUGCUAAGCUGCAACUGACAUUGAGGCUCGAAAGUGUGGGUAUCAAACAGGAUUAGAUACCCUGGUAGUCCACACGGUAAACGAUGAAUACUCGCUGUUUGCGAUAUACUGCAAGCGGCCAAGCGAAAGCGUUAAGUAUUCCACCUGGGGAGUACGCCGGCAACGGUGAAACUCAAAGGAAUUGACGGGGGCCCGCACAAGCGGAGGAACAUGUGGUUUAAUUCGAUGAUACGCGAGGAACCUUACCCGGGCUUAAAUUGCAGAUGAAUUACGGUGAAAGCCGUAAGCCGCAAGGCAUCUGUGAAGGUGCUGCAUGGUUGUCGUCAGCUCGUGCCGUGAGGUGUCGGCUUAAGUGCCAUAACGAGCGCAACCCUUGUUGUCAGUUACUAACAGGUUCCGCUGAGGACUCUGACAAGACUGCCAUCGUAAGAUGUGAGGAAGGUGGGGAUGACGUCAAAUCAGCACGGCCCUUACGUCCGGGGCUACACACGUGUUACAAUGGGGGGUACAGAGGGCCGCUACCACGCGAGUGGAUGCCAAUCCCCAAAACCUCUCUCAGUUCGGACUGGAGUCCGCAACCCGACUCCACGAAGCUGGAUUCGCUAGUAAUCGCGCAUCAGCCACGGCGCGGUGAAUACGUUCCCGGGCCUUGUACACACCGCCCGUCAAGCCAUGGGAGCCGGGGGUACCUGAAGUGCGUAACCGCGAGGAGCGCCCUAGGGUAAAACUGGUGACUGGGGC
rnacentral:rRNA from 1 species